rnacentral:rRNA from 1 species
AGAGUUUGAUCAUGGCUCAGAUUGAACGCUGGCGGCAGGCCUAACACAUGCAAGUCGAACGGUAACAGGAAGCAGCUUGCUGCUUUGCUGACGAGUGGCGGACGGGUGAGUAAUGUCUGGGAAACUGCCUGAUGGAGGGGGAUAACUACUGGAAACGGUGGCUAAUACCGCAUAACGUCGCAAGACCAAAGAGGGGGACCUUCGGGCCUCUUGCCAUCAGAUGUGCCCAGAUGGGAUUAGCUAGUUGGUGAGGUAACGGCUCACCAAGGCGACGAUCCCUAGCUGGUCUGAGAGGAUGACCAGCCACACUGGAACUGAGACACGGUCCAGACUCCUACGGGAGGCAGCAGUGGGGAAUAUUGCACAAUGGGCGCAAGCCUGAUGCAGCCAUGCCGCGUGUAUGAAGAAGGCCUUCGGGUUGUAAAGUACUUUCAGCGGGGAGGAAGGUGUUGUGGUUAAUAACCGCAGCAAUUGACGUUACCCGCAGAAGAAGCACCGGCUAACUCCGUGCCAGCAGCCGCGGUAAUACGGAGGGUGCAAGCGUUAAUCGGAAUUACUGGGCGUAAAGCGCACGCAGGCGGUCUGUCAAGUCGGAUGUGAAAUCCCCGGGCUCAACCUGGGAACUGCAUUCGAAACUGGCAGGCUUGAGUCUUGUAGAGGGGGGUAGAAUUCCAGGUGUAGCGGUGAAAUGCGUAGAGAUCUGGAGGAAUACCGGUGGCGAAGGCGGCCCCCUGGACAAAGACUGACGCUCAGGUGCGAAAGCGUGGGGAGCAAACAGGAUUAGAUACCCUGGUAGUCCACGCCGUAAACGAUGUCUACUUGGAGGUUGUGCCCUUGAGGCGUGGCUUCCGGAGCUAACGCGUUAAGUAGACCGCCUGGGGAGUACGGCCGCAAGGUUAAAACUCAAAUGAAUUGACGGGGGCCCGCACAAGCGGUGGAGCAUGUGGUUUAAUUCGAUGCAACGCGAAGAACCUUACCUGGUCUUGACAUCCACGGAAGUUUUCAGAGAUGAGAAUGUGCCUUCGGGAACCGUGAGACAGGUGCUGCAUGGCUGUCGUCAGCUCGUGUUGUGAAAUGUUGGGUUAAGUCCCGCAACGAGCGCAACCCUUAUCCUUUGUUGCCAGCGAUUAGGUCGGGAACUCAAAGGAGACUGCCAGUGAUAAACUGGAGGAAGGUGGGGAUGACGUCAAGUCAUCAUGGCCCUUACGACCAGGGCUACACACGUGCUACAAUGGCGCAUACAAAGAGAAGCGACCUCGCGAGAGCAAGCGGACCUCAUAAAGUGCGUCGUAGUCCGGAUUGGAGUCUGCAACUCGACUCCAUGAAGUCGGAAUCGCUAGUAAUCGUGGAUCAGAAUGCCACGGUGAAUACGUUCCCGGGCCUUGUACACACCGCCCGUCACACCAUGGGAGUGGGUUGCAAAAGAAGUAGGUAGCUUAACCUUCGGGAGGGCGCUUACCACUUUGUGAUUCAUGACUGGGGUGAAGUCGUAACAAGGUAACCGUAGGGGAACCUGCGGUUGGAUCACCU